rnacentral:rRNA from 1 species
UACAGAGGUCCCAAGCGUUGUUCGGAUUCACUGGGCGUAAAGGGUGCGUAGGCGGCAAGGUAAGUUUGAUGUGAAAUCCCCGGGCUUAACUCGGGAACUGCAUUGAAUACUAUCCUGCUAGAGGAUCGGAGGGGAGACUGGAAUUCUCGGUGUAGCAGUGAAAUGCGUAGAUAUCGAGAGGAACACCAGUGGCGAAGGCGAGUCUCUGGACGAUUCCUGACGCUGAGGCACGAAAGCUAGGGGAGUAAACAGG